UAGAGUUGUAAGCCAGCUCUAGUAAAGAAACUAAUCAUGGGUCUGUGCGAAAAUACCAUAUUGUUCAUUUUGAUUUGCUCACUCACCUCAUCACUAAAUCUCUUAUGCAAAUGCAAAGCAUUUGAUCAAGUUCUUUGCAUUCCUAGUAAGCGACAAGCCCUGCUUAAUUUCAAGCAACAUCUUCAUGGUCCUUCAAACAGCCUUGCCACUUGGUCUGAUGAUAACACAAAUUGCUGCAACUGGACAUCAGUUUCUUGCAAUCAUGAAACAGUUUCCAAGUUUCCUUUGUUCAAUGAAGAGCUUGACAUAUUUGAACCUCUCUUAUGCGGGAUUCAGUGGAAGCAUUCCUCACCAAAUAGGAAAUCUCUCUGGUUUGCUCCAUCUUGACCUUGGAGGAGAUAAUUAUUUUACUAGAAAGAUUCCCCAUCAAAUUGGUAAUUUAUCAAAUCUACUCUAUCUCGAUCUCUCUGGUGGUGAUCAAUAUGACGUGGAUCGGAUAUCAUUGUAUGAAGAAAAUCUGCAGUGGAUAUCAUCUCUUUCUUCACUUUAAUAUCUUCAAUUGAGUGUUGUUAAUCUGUCUAAUGCCUUUGAUUGGUUGCUUGUUUUGCAAUCUCUUCCCUUAUUGACAGAGUUACACCU